GUCGAGGGGUAUAGUCUUCGGAUUUAGAGACCGGCGCACGGGUGCGUAACGCGUAUGCAAUCUACCUUUUACAGAGGGAUAGCCCAGAGAAAUUUGGAUUAAUACCUCAUAGUAUUAUGAAAUGGCAUCAUUUUAUAAUUAAAGUCACAACGGUAAAAGAUGAGCAUGCGUCCCAUUAGCUAGUUGGUAAGGUAACGGCUUACCAAGGCUACGAUGGGUAGGGGUCCUGAGAGGGAGAUCCCCCACACUGGUACUGAGACACGGACCAGACUCCUACGGGAGGCAGCAGUGAGGAAUAUUGGACAAUGGGCGCAAGCCUGAUCCAGCCAUGCCGCGUGCAGGAUGACGGUCCUAUGGAUUGUAAACUGCUUUUAUACAGGAAGAAACACUCCCUCGUGAGGGAGCUUGACGGUACUGUAAGAAUAAGGAUCGGCUAACUCCGUGCCAGCAGCCGCGGUAAUACGGAGGAUCCAAGCGUUAUCCGGAAUCAUUGGGUUUAAAGGGUCCGUAGGCGGUUUGGUAAGUCAGUGGUGAAAGCCCAUCGCUCAACGGUGGAACGGCCAUUGAUACUGCCAGACUUGAAUUAUUAGGAAGUAACUAGAAUAUGUAGUGUAGCGGUGAAAUGCUUAGAGAUUACAUGGAAUACCAAUUGCGAAGGCAGGUUACUACUAAUGGAUUGACGCUGAUGGACGAAAGCGUGGGUAGCGAACAGGAUUAGAUACCCUGGUAGUCCACGCCGUAAACGAUGGAUACUAGCUGUUGGAAGCAAUUUCAGUGGCUAAGCGAAAGUGAUAAGUAUCCCACCUGGGGAGUACGUUCGCAAGAAUGAAACUCAAAGGAAUUGACGGGGGCCCGCACAAGCGGUGGAGCAUGUGGUUUAAUUCGAUGAUACGCGAGG
rnacentral:rRNA from 1 species